CCUCCAGCGACAGACCACCCGUACAUAUGUUUCCGUGCUUGACACUACGCCUCAAUCACGUUACAAUUUAUGGGUCGCCGGUCACGAGUU
rnacentral:pre_miRNA from 1 species